CGAUGACACCAGCGAUUAAUCGGCGUUAAUAUAUGACCCGAUUAGCAGCUUCCGGGAAACCAAAGUUUUUCGUUUCCGGGGGAAGUAUGGUUGCAAAGCUGAAACUUAAAGGAAUUGACGGAAGGGCACCACCAGGAGUGGAGCCUGCGGCUUAAUUUGACUCAACACGGGAAAACUCACCCGGCCCGGACACCGUAAGGAUUGACAGACUGAGAGCUCUUUUUUAAUUCGGUGGGUGGUGGUGCAUGGCCGUUCUUAGUUGGUGGAGCGAUUUGUCUGGUUAAUUCCGAUAACGAACGAGACUCUGGCCUAUUAAAUAGUCGGUAUAUCCAGAAAAGUUUACCGUACUUCUUAGAGGGACAAACGGCGUCUAGCCGCGUGAAAUAGAGCAAUAACAGGUCUGUGAUGCCCUUAGAUGUCCGGGGCUGCACGCGCGCUACACUGAAAGAAUCAGUAUGCGCUUUAACCUAGUCCGGAAGGAUUGGGUAACCCGAGCAAAUUCUUUCGUGCUUGGGAUAGGGAAUUGCAAUUAUUUCCCUUAAACGAGGAAUUCCCAGUAAAUGCGGGUCAUAAGCUCGCGUUGAUUACGUCCCUGCCCUUUGUACACACCGCCCGUCGCUACUACCGAUUGGAUGACUUAGUGAGGUCUUAGGACCGACGUAAAGGAGCUUUCGCGAGUUCUUUUUCGUUGGAAAUUUGAUCGAACUACGUUAUCUAGAGGAAGCAAAAGUCGUAACAAGGU
rnacentral:rRNA from 1 species